rnacentral:rRNA from 1 species
UACGUAGGAGACUAGUGUUAUUCAUCGUUAUUAGGUUUAAAGCGCACGUAGGCGGAUAUGUCAUUCAGGGGUGAAAUCCCGGGGCUUAACCUCGGAACUGCCUUUGAUACAGCAUAUCUUGAGUCCGAUAGAGGUGGGUGGAAUUCCUAGUGUAGAGGUGAAAUUCGUAGAUAUUAGGAAGAACACCGGUGGCGAAGGCGGCCCACUGGAUCGGUACUGACGCUGAGGUGCGAAAGCGUGGGGAGCAAACAGG